CUUAAUUACAAGUAGCAUAUUUUUUUUUCUAACGAAUAACGUUCUUCAAUAUUAAAAUUGAUUCCUUAAAAUACACUUUCUUAAAUAUAUUAUUCGCAAAUCGAAACCUCGUCGCAUUUAAGAAAUAUCCGCGAAAAAAGAAAUCGACUAAUCGACUGUCACCUGUAACAGUUACAAGAUUUUUUACACGUUCGAAUAGACAUAUAGCCGACAGGAUACUUUUAAUACACGUAGCUGACCAUCUUCGUCUUAUAUAGAAGUAAGUUUAUUUCUUUUACGCGUCAUUUGAUAGGAGAGGAAUAAAAAGAGAGUGAGAGAGAGAGAGAGAGAAAGAACGAGAGAGAGAAGGAGAGAAGAAGAGAGAGAAAGAGAGAGAGAAAGAGAGAGAGAAAGAGAGAGAGAGAGAAAUAACACUCGGCGUAUGAAUGAAACGAGAAACAAUCACGAGGCAUUGGCCUUGGUAGAAAAUUCGUCCUUUAACAAGUAUGUAAACAAAAAUCGCUUGGCUGAGCGAGUGGAAGGGAGAAUUACAGAUUAAUACGACACUACAUUCGAAACAAGUCACGAUCUGUUUGCGUAACAGGCAAGACGAAAUUAUCGCUUUUAUUACGCAUUUUAAAAUACUUAACGAAAUUUAAUUUGCUUUUUAGUUUACCCCUUCUACCAAAUUGACAACUUGGAAUAAAAAAGAUGUUUAAGCGGGACAAGACGUUCUCAUGUUCUUUUUUUAAAGUUAAAGACAAAUAUCUUUUUCUUUUUUUUUUUUUUUCUUUUUUAAUUAAAUAAAAAUUUAGUUGUUCAUCGUACGUAAUGCUAUUUUAAAGUUAGUGUUUAUGCGAAAAAAUUUUGAGUUUCUCUAACCAAAUAGGUUGUCUUAAAAAUGAAAUAAAUUCGCAAAUUAAAUUCAGUGUUGUUCAACGAAGAAAAUUCUUCGGUCGUAUUAAUAAAUCAACGCAAGAAUUUCAUGUAAUAUUCUUGUUAAAACAAUUUGUUCGCCGCGUUGUGUGAAUUAAAAAAUUUUUCAUCUACAUCUUUAUCAACGAAUGUAAAGCUUCGUUUGGAUAAAAUUAUGUAUCAACCAACUUCAUGACAUCAUUCGACCUACAUUGAGAGAGACAAGUGUUUUGGAGACAUCGCAGAACUUCUUAAUUAGUUCAAAUUUGAAACUCCGAGUCGAUGAUGAUUAAUACUGUAGACAAAAACGUAUGGAUGAUUUGGACAGUUCUCGAGUCAGUUUACUGUUGGAUUUCAAUGAAUAAGAAUCAUGUUUGUUAGAAAUGAGCCUUCUCCUUAAAUACGAUGUUAAAGAUCUUAAAAGAAAAGCGUCUAUAUCGCACAUCGAUCAAUUGUUCUCUCGGAAAAGAGAGAGAAUUUGGAUUGAUUUUGAAGUUCAUACAGAUCUAACGACACCCACAACCCAAAACUGCCAUGUCCUGAUAAUUCUUCAAGACAACCUUGUUUUCCUCGUCGAGAUAGAGCAUACUUAUCGAGCUCAAGGCCGUAGGCACACAACAUGCUUUCGGAACCAUGCUCGGUUUCGUCGAGUAGACCAAGUUCUGGACGAUCGCGUGAUUAGUCGAGUUCAGAUGAUCCGCCAAAGGAAACGGGCAAUCUCCGUGGCAAUAGAAGGCGUCGUAUCCGGGAGGAGCAACAAUCCAAUCGUUCCAACCGACGUCGGCGAAGUCAACGUAGAGCGGAUGUCGACGACAAUUCUCUCGACCAUCCUUUCGUCUGUUCUUUCUUAAAGCUGCCCGUCUGGCACGUCUAUCCAAGAUCUGCUUGCCAGAAGUCAUUUUGUAUCUACCAUCGUCCAUUCAUCACAUGAACGAGAAGACCGUAAUUGCUUUUGUGAUUCUUCAUCCACCUUUCUACCGCCGGAUGGACAUCCAAAUUGACCGUGGCAUUUUUCCUCAGAUCUAUCACCUUGCUAUCGACCAAUCUUAGUAUUGGCAUACUUCGUCCCUUUAUCCCUGGACGAACGAUAUCGUAAACAAGUACUCUUCCAUGCCUUGGUCCGUUUGAAUCAUCUUCCUCGGUUAUCGCAAUACGUGAAAGACUCAACUCAGCCGCUUGCAACUUCUCACCCAAUGGUAUUCUCCUUAGGUCAAACGAGAGACGAAAUCGAUUUGGCAGGCGAAACUUUUCGUCCAGUUCACUCUCUGGAAAAAAGGAACAAAGGAUAAUGAUAAUUAUCUACGAUAACGAUUUACCUUUACGUCGCUCUAUUUUCUAUUUUUGGACUACAUCAUCAUGCACGCACGCAUACCAACGUUUAACUUUCACACGAUAAAAAAGGAUCUCUCAUAAAGCUGCAAAUGAGUCACCGUCGAAAAAGCACUUGUCCGACCGGUAUAUCUUUUAGCCAUAGAAAUGUCUUCAACGUCUUUUUCGUCUGAAAUAUCUUCAACGAUAAGGAACUUAAGAAGGAUACUAACCGACAUGAAAGAAGGAACGAACUGUGUUCGCCGAUCGUGUGUGAAUUCCUGGUUUUGCGAUGUCC